GGCUGCUGCUCAACGAAUUAUUUGUGCACUUCUGCCUGUUACAUGGUACUAGAUGGGGAGCAGAUCUGCAGCACUGUGAAAGACACCGAGCAAGUGUCAGCACUCCCUAUAAUUCAGCCGACCUCCCAGUAUAUUCACUGCAGCGAAGCGGGGGAGCUCUGGAGCGGCCGGAGGGAGGCUGUGGUCGGGAAGUGAGGUGAAAAGAGCAUAAUAGGAUCACACCAGAUCAGCACGACGCUUUAGAAAGAAGAAAGCCAACAGCUACAACAAAAACAAAGCCUCGCUACAGACCAUCGAAAAGAGAGCUGUGGGGGAAUGCAGAGAAGCUGGGGAAGCUCCCAGGCUGCUUUAGGAUUUCCCCACGUACAGAAGGCUGCGAAUGCCAGCAAGACGGAUUCCUUCCCACACGCAAGAUGCCACCUCGGUGGCCUUAUCAGAUGUUCCCUUUAAAGACACGAGCUCUUAUUUCCCCUCUGUAUGUGUUUCGCAUCUCUAGCUAUUUUAUUUAUUACAGCCGAUUACAUUUGUGA